rnacentral:rRNA from 1 species
AUUGAACGCUGGCGGAAUGCUUUACACAUGCAAGUCGAACGGCAGCACGGACUUCGGUCUGGUGGCGAGUGGCGAACGGGUGAGUAAUGUAUCGGAACGUGCCCAGUCGUGGGGGAUAACGUAGUGAAAAUUACGCUAAUACCGCAUACGAUCUAUGGAUGAAAGCGGGGGAUCGCAAGACCUCGCGCGAUUGGAGCGGCCGAUAUCAGAUUAGGUAGUUGGUGGGGUAAAGGCCCACCAAGCCAACGAUCUGUAGCUGGUCUGAGAGGACGACUAGCCACACUGGAACUGAGACACGGUCCAGACGACUACGGGAGGCAGCAGUGGGGAAUUUUGGACAAUGGGCGAAGGCCUGAGCCAGCCAUGCGGCGUGAAGGAUGAAGGCCCUCGGGUUGUAAACUGCUUUUGUACAGAAUGAAAAGGUUUCUACUAAUACUAGGAGCUCAUGACGGUACUGUAAGAAUAAGCACCGGCUAACUACGUGCCAGCAGCCGCCGUAA